GUAGGUGGCAAGCGUUGUCCGGGAAUUACUGGGGCGUAAAGCGCGCGCAGGCGGUUCUUUAAGUCUGAUGUGAAAGCCCACGGGCUCAACCGUGGAGGGUCAUUGGAAACUGGAGAACUUGAGUACAGAAGAGGAAAGCGGAAUUCCACGUGUAGCGGUGAAAUGCGUAGAGAUGUGGAGGAACACCAGUGGCGAAGGCGGCUUUCUGGUCUGUAACUGACGCUGAGGCGCGAAAGCGUGGGGAGCAAACAGGAUUAGAUACCCUGGUAGUCCACGCCGUAAACGAUGAGUGCUAAGUGUUAGGGGGUUUCCGCCCCUUAGUGCUGCAGCUAACGCAUUAAGCACUCCGCCUGGGGAGUACGGCCGCAAAGGCUG
rnacentral:rRNA from 1 species